AUACUUACCUGGCAGGGGAGACACCAUGAUCAGGCAGGUGGUUUUCCCAGGGCGAGGCUCAUCCCCUGCACUCCGGGUGUGCUGACCCCUGCGAUUUCCCCAAAUGCGGGAAACUCGACUGCAUAAUUUG
rnacentral:snRNA from 1 species